rfam:SARS coronavirus, complete genome
AUAUUAGGUUUUUACCUACCCAGGAAAAGCCAACCAACCUCGAUCUCUUGUAGAUCUGUUCUCUAAACGAACUUUAAAAUCUGUGUAGCUGUCGCUCGGCUGCAUGCCUAGUGCACCUACGCAGUAUAAACAAUAAUAAAUUUUACUGUCGUUGACAAGAAACGAGUAACUCGUCCCUCUUCUGCAGACUGCUUACGGUUUCGUCCGUGUUGCAGUCGAUCAUCAGCAUACCUAGGUUUCGUCCGGGUGUGACCGAAAGGUAAGAUGGAGAGCCUUGUUCUUGGUGUCAACGAGAAAACA